rnacentral:rRNA from 1 species
AUUGAACGCUGGCGGCAGGCCUAACACAUGCAAGUCGAACGGUAACAGGAAGCAGCUUGCUGCUUUGCUGACGAGUGGCGGACGGGUGAGUAAUGUCUGGGAAACUGCCUGAUGGAGGGGGAUAACUACUGGAAACGGUAGCUAAUACCGCAUAACGUCGCAAGACCAAAGAGGGGGACCUUCGGGCCUCUUGCCAUCGGAUGUGCCCAGAUGGGAUUAGCUAGUAGGUGGGGUAACGGCUCACCUAGGCGACGAUCCCUAGCUGGUCUGAGAGGAUGACCAGCCACACUGGAAAUGAGACACGGUCCAGACUCCUAAGGGAGGCAGCAGUGGGGAAUAUUGCACAAUGGGCGCAAGCCUGAUGCAGCCAUGACGCGUGUAUGAAGAAGGCCUUCGGGUUGUAAAGUACUUUCAGCGGGGAGGAAGAGAGUAAAGUUAAUACCUUUGCUCAUUGACGUUACCCGCAGAAGAAGCACCGGCUAACUACGUG